UAGACGCGAAACCGUGUGAUCUACCCAUGGGCAGGUUGAAGCUGUAGUAACAUACAGUGGAGGACCGAACCGGUUGACGUUGAAAAGUCUUCGGAUGACCUGUGGGUAGGGGUGAAAGGCCAAUCAAACUCGGAAAUAGCUCGUACUCCCCGAAAUGCAUUUAGGUGCAGCGUUGAUUUAUAGUUUUAUAGAGGUAGAGCUACUGAUUGGAUGCGGGGGCUUCACCGCCUACCAAUUCCUGACAAACUCCGAAUGCUAUAAAAUGUUAAUCAGCAGUGAGGGCAUGGGUGCUAAGGUCCAUGUCCGAGAGGGAAAGAACCCAGACCAUCAGCUAAGGUCCCUAAAUAUAUGUUAAGUUGAAUAAACGAGGUUGAACUGCUUUGACAGCUAGGAUGUUGGCUUGGAAGCAGCCAUUCAUUUAAAGAGUGCGUAACAGCUCACUAGUCGAGCGGUUCGGCAUGGAUAAUAAUCGGGCAUAAACAUAUUACCGAAGCUAUGGACUUGUAAAAGUGGUAGGGGAGCAUUGUAGUGGCGUUGAAGGUGUGCUGUGAGGCAUGCUGGAGUAGCUACAAAAGAAAAUGUAGGCAUAAGUAACGAUAAUGCGGGCGAGAAACCCGCACACCGAAAGACUAAGGUUUCCUCAGCUAUGCUAAUCAGCUGAGGGUUAGUCGGGACCUAACGCGAACCCGAAAGGGUAGUGGAUGGCCAACAGGUUAAUAUUCCUGUACCUGCUCACACUAAAAGUGACGGAGGCGAAAAGUUAGUGCGCACUGACGGAAUAGUGCGUUGAAGCCAGUGGUAACACGCCGAUAGUACACUGAGACUACGGUCAAGGUGAUAAUCUAGCAAAUCGACUUCCAAGAAAAGCGAGUGAAGCAGCCCGUACCCUAAACCGACACAGGUAGUUGGGAUGAGAAUUCUAAGGUGCUCGAGAGAUUCAUGGCUAAGGAACUAGGCAAAAUUGACGCGUAACUUCGGGAGAAGCGUCGCCCAUAGCAAGACAGGCCGCAGUGAAAAGAUCCAAGCGACUGUUUAUCAAAAACACAGGGCUCUGCUAAAUCGAAAGAUGAUGUAUAGGGCCUGACACCUGCCCGGUGCCGGAAGGCCAAAAGGAGAUGUUAUCCUCGGAGAAGCAUUGAAUUGAAGCCCCGGUAAACGGCGGCCGUAACAAUAACGGUCCUAAGGUAGCGAAAUUCCUUGUCGGGUAAGUUCCGACCUGCACGAAUGGUGCAACGAUCUGGGCACUGUCUCAGCUAUGUCCUCGGUGAAAUUGUAGUAUCGGUGAAGAUGCCGAUUACCCGCAACGGGACGGAAAGGCAUCAUUGCAGCUCAUCUCGGUGACAACAGACUAGACACUGCAGUAGUUGGGCUGCCUAAAUUCUAAGAUGGAGGAUGAAUACACAAGUGAACAACUUGAGGAGUUCAAAGAGGCUUUCAGCCUUUUCGACAAAGAUGGUGACGGUACAAUUGAUGCAGAUGAGCUUGGUACCGUGCUGCGAUCGCUCGGUCAUCAGCCGACGGAAGAAGAAGUCGAAGAUAUGAUUAAAGAGGCGGAUAUGGAUGGUAACGGGACCAUUGAUUUUGAGGAGUUUAUCCAGAUGAUGCCUUCAGCCUCACGAAAUGAGCGAGAUGAAAACGCUGAAGAAGAAAUGAGAGAAGCUUUUCAAAUAUUUGACGCUGAUGGCAAUGGAAAGAUUACAAGUGAAGAACUCCGUCUGAUUAUGGAGAAUCUUGGAGAGAAAUUAACUGACGAAGAGAUAACAGACAUGGUCAAGGAAGCUGAUAUCGAUGGGGAUGGCGAGAUAAACUACAGGAGUUUGUGCGAAUGAUGUUCAAGUAGACGAUCCCUACAGGCGCUUCGGCCUCUCAGA
rnacentral:rRNA from 1 species